rnacentral:tRNA from 1 species
CCGGCGGUGGCAGAGCGGCUAUUGCGGCGGUCUGUAAAACCGUUUUAUGUAGGUUCGACUCCUACCCGCCGGA